rnacentral:lncRNA from 1 species
CGCAGAAGUUGGACAAAGACACACCCACAGGGAAAGCACCAUGAGAAGAUGACGGCAGAGAUCUGGGCGACGCGUCUACAAGCCAAGCGACACCAAAGGUGGCCAGCAGCCCAUGUGAAGCUGGAGGAGAGGCCUCGAAUAAAUGCUCCCUUACAGCGUUCAGGGGGAACUGACCCUGUCCACACCUUGACCUUGAACUUCUGGGCUCCAGAACUGUGAGACAGCAUGUUCUGUUGUUGAAGGUACCUGGUCUGGGGUGCGUGGUGCUUUGCAGCCAAAGUGAAUGAAUCUGGUGACACUGACCUGUGUACUGUAUGUCUUGUCUGCAGCUUGCUGGAGCAGCGUGGCUAGAGGAAUUCCUGCAGCUUAGAUUUCGCUGGCACUGUUACCACUCCCAGAGAGGAGCGGCUGGAGUUCACGGCUGGUUCCUGACAAACUUCCUAAUUAAUCUGCUAAAGAUCAGAGGAGGACUAAUAGGAGCUGAAGACUGUGUGCGAGACCACCCCUCCGCCCUCUCCCUUUGUGUGUGCACGUGUGUGUGUGUGUGUGUGUGAGCGCGUGCGCGCAUGUGGUGCUGAGCUUGGCGGGAGAGAGAUGGCCUCACCAGCGACAAAGCAUUCCUGCUGCUGUUGCUGCCACCUACCUUCCCUGCUUUGGGAGGAUACAUUUUCUCCUCUUGCUUAGAAGUUUCAGGGAGUCACCCAAGCCUUCUUCUCCCAGAUACAACGGUGGAAUAAAAUAUCUUCCAGCCAACAUAUUUUUUGGAGACGGAAUCUCACUCUGUCACCUGGUUGAAGUGCAGCAGCGCGAUCAUGGCUCACUGCAACCUCUGCCUCCCGGUUUCAAGUGAUUCUCCUGCCUCCGCCUCCCGAGUAGCUGGGAUUACAGGCAUGUGCCACCCACCACGCCUGGGUAAUUUUUGUAUUUUUACUAGAGACAGGGUUUCACUAUGUGGGCUGGGCUGGUCUCAAACUCCUGACCUCUGGUGAUCUGCCCACUUCGGCCUCUCAAAGUGCUGGGAUUACAGGCAUGAGCCCCCGCACCCGGUUGCAACCAACUUUUUUGUGGAAUAUAGGAUCUUGAUGUUUGGAUGCCUGAAGGCAGAAGCUGUUGCACAUGGAAUGGAUUAAAGUUUUCCCCUCUGCAACCAAAAAUCCUUGGGGUCCCAGGAGCAAAAGAUGCUCCAUGGCACAGGACAAUUCAAGAAGGCCCGAGGUGAUAUUGAAGACUGCAGAGACAUCCAGCUCAGUUGUGUCUCCGGAGGUGUCCAGACUUUGCAGACAGACGUUGCACAUAAAGAGCUGAAAAACUGAGGAAGCUGAGCUGGAGAAGGAAGUCACUUCUACUCAGACUUGACCUGCGUCUGAUGCUAUGGGGCCUCUUAGGGUUACCUCAUGCUUCAUGCACCCCUUUCUCUGUUCUUCAGCAGAAGGCAGGGUGUAGGGAAGCGGGACUGUGCCUCCUUUCUCCCUGCCAGGCCUGACUCUCCAGGCCAAGAGACACCAUUAAGGAGUAUAAUUUGUUGAUCCAGGCUCUCCUUGCGUUUCAGUGCAGAGUGGCAUCGUUUUCUUUAUGACCUCGUAAAGUCACAGCCGAGAGGCCGAUUUGGAAAACAAACUGCCUCAGGUUGACAGAUAAUUAGAUACAGGGGACAUAUUAUAUGCCUUUGCAUAUAAAUGUGCUCCGAGGCGUGUUGGUUCAUCUGAAGUUGAGGUUAAAGGCGCGCCAGGUAUUCCUGACACAUCAGGAUAUAUAUUUUCAUACAGUCUCAGGUGCUGUGUUGGUUUUAUAGGCCUUUCAUCCUGGUGCUGACGGAUGGGGUGUGAUUGUGACCCAACUUAGAAGAAAGGGACUUCCCUUGCCCAGGGGCCUCCUGGCGUUUUUGUUUUGUGUUCUCCCUCUCCACCCCCACUUUCUCUUCUUCCUUGGGAAGGGAACUGUUCUUUGGACCUAGGAUUCUGCCGUGAGUGACUAAUGGCCUGAGUAGGAGGGACCGGGACUCAUUUUUCUUUUCUGGACUCUAAUAGGCCCAAUUAAUUCAGCUACAACAUGGGCCCUUACAAGCCUGGGACAAGCCUGGGUGGAAUUCUAUAUUGAGGAGUUAAUCCUAAUAAAAAAUGAUUACAGAAGAGGACGCCUCCACCCACAGGAAGGAGCCAGCACGGUGGGGAGCUGUUUCACCAGGGGAGUGUUCUCAGCAGCUGCCACACGUGGAGUUGUGGAGGUAGCAAGCAGAGUUGGGGGAGGAGGGGGAGCCCUGGUUCCUGCUCUUCCAUGAUCAGUGUGCAGCCUUGAGCAUGGCACUCCCUCUCUUCCCAGCUUAGUGUCCUCAUCCGUAAAAUGAGGGGCUCUCUGAGAGUCUGCCAGGGCCGCUGUCUGAUCUGUGACAGCGUGGCAUGUGGUGUGGUAUGUAAUGCACGUUCCUGCCUGCAGGGAGGCCCUCUCCCUUCCCCCACCAGGCUUCUGGGCAGCACUUGCUGUCAUCCUUGCUUCUGGAACAGGACUGUGCUGUUUUCCAGGCCAAAUUGGAGGGCUGAGGGGGUCUAUUAAGAAGACUCUGGGGAGAUGGUGGAACAAUUCUGUGCUUGAAAUUACCUUCCUCUUUAAAUCUUGCCAUGGCCCUAUUAGAAAAGCUAAGGGGGCAGGAGGAGAGGAGCGGGCAGGGAGAGGAGAGAGAGAGAGAAGAAGGAAGAAGGAAAGGGAAAGGUAAGAAACCCCAUAGCCCGACCCUCAGCCCUGUUGAAGGAGAUUAUAUAAAUAGAGUCGCUGUCACUUUGAUGAAUUAAAUCCUCCGUUAAUUAGGACGCAUCCAUUUAAGGGUUGUCCAGCCAGAUAGUCCUUUUCCCUUCCCAGCAAGUCAUAGCUCAGGGAGGAGGCAUGAGAGGGAUCGUUUUCUGUUUCUGGCUUGAUUGCUGGUUUCUUUCUUACUAGGCUUCAUUAAUUAUCCUGGAAUGUGGUCACCCAGUUUUCUUCAACAUGGGCCAUUCUCCUUUUAGCAGGAUCUUGGCAGUGGACUGCCACGGGAGCUCUGGGGAAAAAGGACCAGUUGGACUCCAGUACCUCCUGAGAGACCACCACCCUCCAUGCCUCCAGCUCAUGCCCAGCUCUGAGUCAGACGGACUCUUCCUGUUGUACUGCGAGGUUCUGCAAACCUUGAAGGGCAAACACAGUGAGGGUCUCUGACUUGCUGUGUGGACAGCCCACUCUCUGACAGCCCAGAUCAUCUGAAGCUAUCCCUGGGCUGGGAGCUGGAAGCCAUUCUUGUGAACCACUCCUUAUACCUUGAGCGAAGCCUCUUUGGGUCCCAGAAGUCUGAAGCUCCAGCUGCCUGGCAAGACUGAGUCUAGAUGAUUUCUUGGGUACCAGUAGUUUGGCAUUUAAAAAUACUGGAUUAACUGCAGUGUAAACUUAGAUUGCAUUUCAGAUUGUAAACAAUAACCCCCGUGCUUCAUGUGAUGUUAAAUCAGAAAUGAGCUAUUAGCCAAGCUAGUCCUCUUAUGAAUGAGCCCCUAACCCUGAUCCAGGGAUCGUUGAAUGAAAAUCAUCAAAAUGAUUUAUCUUCACUUUACCUAUUGUCUCACAAGAAUCUCAUCACUCAGGGAAAAGGAGGGUGUUCUUCAGGGAACGGAGGGCAUGAGGAAGGGGGAUUUCCUUAUAUCUCAACUUUCAGAGGGAGCUGAGUUGUAAACAGAUGGAACAAGGUGUGUACGAGAAGCCUCUUAGAUUUAGUCUUUCAUAUCAAGGCUCUUGCUGAAAAUCCUGGCACAGCUGUGAAAUGAGGGGAGCUCUGACACACAGAGACACGCUCCUUGCCUCACCAACCUUCCCAUACACAGUCAUGCGCACAGAGAGCAGGUACCAAUACUGAAAAUGCCCUUCCGGAGUUUCCUCAGCUUAAACCCUUGACAGCAUUAAGUGAGGAAGGAGUUUCCUUGACCUGGGGAAGAAGAACCAACUCAUAAACAUGGAACUGUG